UCCUUCACUCCUUUUUGGCUACUAGGCUACUAUUCUAUAUACUAAGUAUCGCACUCUGAGUCUUCCUGGCCAAUAUAACUGGAUUGAGAAGCACCUAAAAGAUAGAUCUUUGGGCCAAGCUGGCCUUGAACCCCCAAAGAACUACCUGCCUUUGCCUCCUAAGUGCUAGAAUUAAAGGUAUGCACCACUUUGGCCGGUCAAAUGAGCAGGAUUACACAUUAAGGUACCUUCAUGAAACUACUUCCAUGUUGGAAUGUGGAAUUUGGGGAACUUGAAUCUGUAUUUCCUGGCUGUGACCACUCUCAUAUUUUGCUCCAGAAUAAACUAUCUCCUAUCUCUUUUGAGGGUGAAAUAAAGAAGGGUCAGGACAAGGGCUUACAAACUGAGAGACAGAGACACAAGUGACUCAUUCAGUCACAUCCGUAAAUGGAAAAGACCAAAUCCACGCCCUCAUUCAUGAUGCUCAAACCCUCUACUGAAGCCUCCUGGCAGGAUCUCUGGACUCAUUAAACAGUACCAGUGCCUGGGCCAGCAAGAUGGAUGGCUUGGUGGGUAAAGGUGCCUGCUACAGAGCCUGAGGAUGCCAGCCCAACCCC
rnacentral:lncRNA from 1 species